CGAAGGGCGACAUGAGCCACCAAUGAGUUAUAAACGACACAAAAUAACACAAGUAGGCAGCGGAUACUAAGUUAUAGUUAAUCACACACAAGUGGGAAGUUUUCAGACCUUCAAACCAUAAGCUCCGGGAACUAAACAGACACACACUUCAAGACUUGGGAGUGGAACCAGUGGUAGUAGUAAAUAAAAACCAGUCAUCUCAACAGUAGAACAUAACCCUCUUAACAUUCUCUUUCAGAGCUGGCAAAGGUCGAACAGCAGCAUUCAACCCCGGUGCCCGUGUACUGCGAGCACCAACGCCACCACGUCCAGCAGCAGCCUCACUGCUAAUUGACCCACUAUCG
rnacentral:misc_RNA from 1 species